ACAUUAAGGGCCUGAUCCAAAGCCCAAUGAGAGCAGUAGGAGUCUUUCCAUUGACUUCAGUGGGUCUUGGAUCAGGCCCUAACUUU
rnacentral:pre_miRNA from 1 species